GACAGAGGGGGCAAGCGUUGCUCGGAAUCACUUGGGCGUAAAGCGUGCGUAGGCGGCUGCGCAAGUCGGGUGUGAAACCCCGGGGCUCAACCCGGGAACUGCAUCCGAUACUGCGUGGCUAGAGGUAGGUAGGGGAGACUGGAAUUCCUGGUGUAGCGGUGAAAAUGCGCAGAUAUCAGGAGGAACACCGGUGGCGAAGGCGGGUCUCUGGGCCGAUACUGACGUGAGGAGCGGAAAGCGUGGGGAGCGAA
rnacentral:rRNA from 1 species